rnacentral:misc_RNA from 1 species
GGAUAAAAGAAGGGUGUAUGUGAUAGGUUGACAACCAACUUAAAGCUAGUCAAUUGAACGAUUUACAGUCUUAUCAUACAACAUACUAGCUGAUUACCUUGCUAAUGAUCAUCAGAGAAAACUUUAUUUUCACAUACCACAACAUAUUUUGGACUGGGAAUGGCGUAAAAGAAGUAUCCUUUCUGAGCUUGGAUGGUGGUCAGCUGAUAUAUUGUGUCUUCAGGAGGUUGACAGAUUCCAGGAGUUGGAGGCAGAGUUGAAGUUGCGUGGAUACAGUGGCAUCUGGAAGAGGCGUACCGGAGAUCCAGCUGAUGGAUGUGCAAUAUUUUGGCAUGCAUCAAGAUUCAAAUUGGUGCAUGAAGAAUUUGUUGAAUUUAAAAAGUUUGGGCUUCGGGAUAAUGUUGCCCAGAUAUGUGUAUUUGAGUCUCUUGGUCAGCAAAAUAAGAGUUCACCAGCUCCCUUAGCAAGCACUGGUCACUCCAGUAAGGUUGUAAUUUGUAAUACUCAUGUGCUUUUCAAUCCUAAAAGGGGAGAUAUUAAGCUCGGACAGGUUAGGGUGCUUCUGGAUAAGGCUGGUGGUGUUUCAAAACUUUGGGACAAUGCUCCUAUUGUAAUUUGUGGAGAUUUUAACAGUACACCAAAGAGUCCAUUAUACAACUAUCUUGCCGAGGAAAGACUAGACUUAUCAGAAGUGCCUCGGGAUAAAGUGUCAGGACAGGAAUCAGCUACAAUUUAUACAGUGAAGCACAGCUUCAAUGCUAGUGCUAGACACCAGGAUGCAGUUAACUCUUCUCAAAGCUCUGAAGUGGCUAGUGAGAGAGAGGUAAAAGACAAUAAGAUGGCAUCAGCUGAACAGAAAUUCGAUACUCGAGAAAAAGAUUCAGGAACUGGAUCUUCUGCAUGUACCUUAUCUCAGCCUCAGAGUUCUGUAGAAUAUGAGCCAGGAAUUUCUUGUAUGGUUAUCUCAUGCUCUGAAAGUACAGCUGAUUUGCCUAGAGUAAUCCAUGUUGAAGGUACAAGUCAUGAAGCCAAUUCAUUAGAAUCUUGUCAAGAAGAUGAAUAUGAUAAGGACUCUGAGAGUGGAUAUAACAAGGCCGACCCUAAUGCCACUUCUACCUCUUCUCACAAAAAUUUUGUAGCAGAAGUGCGUUCAGGAAUUGAUUCAGAGAGAGUUAAGGAUGGGCAGUCCAAUGUAGGUGAUUUUGGUUCUGAAAAUGUUUUGAGCAUUCACAGGCCUAUAAUACCCCAUUGUUCAGAUGUGUCAUCGACGGGGCUAUUUUCUGAUUCUUCAGAUGUACAUGAAGUUUCUCUUCCAGAAAGCUCGGAAAGUGUGUCGUCAAUUGGUAAAGAGAGUUCCCCUAAAAUAUCACGUGAACUUAAAAACUCAUACACAGAGACUUGUUUUGAUGUCUUGUUGGACGAAAAGAUGGCCAACUUGUCACUUAGUGUGGUCUCUGAAGGCACAAAAGAAGAUGAACUUUUGGUUGAAAAUCGUGAAGCAUUUUUGUCUCAGUUACAUGAUGAAGCUGGUUCCUUUCCAUCAGACUCUGACCAACUUCAAACAACUUCUCUUGAGGAAUUGGAUGAGUCAGUAAAGAAGUGUGACGGUUCCUUAGAGUUGCGUUCUUUAAGUGAUGAGAUUGCACAUGAUGCUCCUAAUUUGGAUUCUGAGGUUGUUGACAGAGAGAACUCGAUUUAUGAUCCAUCAGCUUGGACGCCAAUUGAUAUAGAAACCGCUACAGGCAAUGCAGAUUGCAAACUAUUGGAACAUAAUCUGAAGUUGACAAGUGCAUAUAGGGAAGUAGAGUUGCAGGAUUUUUCUGGAACUAGAGAUUCAACAGGAGAACCUGAGGUGACCAGCUAUCACAGGCUUUUCAUGGGUACAGUUGAUUAUAUAUGGCGUUCUGAAGGCCUUCAGACUGCAAGGGUGCUUGCUCCGAUUCCAAAAAAUGCCAUGCAAUUUGUGAGAGGUUUCCCUACUAAGAAAUGGGGAAGUGAUCAUAUUGCUCUGGUUUCGGAAUUUGCUUUUACAAGUGAUAUAUCGGUCCACA